AACCUUUAACAUGUCACCACGUACGGUAGCGGGAGCGUGGUUGUGCUGUUGGGGGCGAGUGGCGUGCGGGUGACUAAUAUAUCGGAACGUGCCCCUAGCGGGCGACGACUACCCGAAACAGUGACUAAUACCGCAUAGCCCCUACGGGGGAAAGGGGGCGAUCCCAAGACCUCUCACAAUUGGAGCGACCGAAAUCGGAUUAGCUAGUUGGUGGGGUAAAGGCUCGCCAAGGUAACGAUCCGUAUCUGGAUUGAGAGGACGACCAGCCACACUGGGACUGAGACACGGCCCAGACUCCUACGGGAGGCAGCAAUGGGUAAUUUUGGACAAUGGCGGAAACCCUGAUCCAGCCAUCCCGCGUGUAUGAUGAAGGCCUUCGGGUUGUAAUGUACUUUUGGCAAAAAAGAAAAGGUACCUCCUAAUACGAGGUACUGCUGACGGUAUCUGCAGAAUAAGCACCUGCUAACUACGUGCCAGCAGCCGCGGUAAUACGUAGGGUGCAAGCGUUAAUCGGAAUUACUGGGCGAAAAACGUGUGUAGGCGGUUCGAAAAGAAAGAUGUGAAAUCCCAGGGCUCAACCUUGCAACUGCAUUUUUAACUGCCGAGUUAGAGUAUGUCAGAGGGAGGUAGAAUUCCACGUGUAGCAGUGAAAUGUGUAGAUAUGUGGAGGAAUACCGAUGGCGAACGCAGCCCCCUGGAAUAAUACUGACGCUCAGACACGAGAGCGUGAGGAGCAAACAGGAUUACAUACCCUGCUAGUCCACGCCCAAAACGAUGUCAACUAGCUGUUGGGGCCGUUAGGCCUUACUAGCGCAGCUAACGCGUGACGUUGACCGCCUGGCCGAGUACGGUCGCAAGAUUAAAACUCAUAGGAAUUGACGCGGCACCCGCACAAGCUGUGGAUGAUGUAGUAUUAAUGUCGAUGCAUCGCGCAAUAACCUAUACUCUACCCUUUGACAUGAUCUGGGAAAUGACGAAUGAGAUUUGUCCGUGACUCGCAAGAGAACCAGGAACACAUGCUGCUGCCAUGCCUGUCGUCAGCUCGGUGAUCAGGUAGAUGUUAGGGCUCAGUUCCCGGCACGAGCGCCUAGUCAUAGUCAUCAGCUGCAUACGCUCAGUACCAUGUAACUGACACUGCCGGAUGACGAGCCAGGAUGAGGAUGGAGG
rnacentral:rRNA from 1 species